GAUGAACGCUAGCGGCAGGCUUAAUACAUGCAAGUCGAGGGGCAGCAGGAUUGUAGCAAUACAGUUGCUGGCGACCGGCAAACGGGUGCGGAACACGUACGCAACCUUCCUUUAACUGGAAGAUAGCCCACCGAAAGGUGGAUUAAUACUCCAUAAUAUAACUGAAUGGCAUCAUUUAGAUAUUAAAGCUCAGGCGGUUAAAGAUGGGCGUGCGUCUGAUUAGGUAGUUGGCGGGGUAACGGCCCACCAAGCCUUCGAUCAGUAGCUGAUGUGAGAGCAGGAUUUGCCACACGGGCACUGAGACACGGUCUUGUCUUCUAUUGUAUGCAGCAGUAAGGAAUAUUUGUCAAUGGACGCAAGUCUGAACCAGCCAUGCCGCGUGGAGGAUGAAGGCCCUCUGGGUUGUAAACUUCUUUUCUUUGGGACGAAACCCCUGUUUCUACGGGGACUGACGGUACCAGAGGAAUAAGCACCGGCUAACUCCGUGCCAGCAGCCGCCGCCGUAA
rnacentral:rRNA from 1 species